AAUUAGUUCGUCCGUCGUAUUACAAUGUAGGUCUUGAUGAAUGUGACGCUGAAGGCGAUUUGUUCUUCAUCCAUAUUGCGUUGCCGACCUCAAAGGUUGGUUCAUUCAAUCAGUGAGUUUGAGAGAGCACAUUUGCUAAGGGUAUAGUAGUACAAAUAAUAAUUUUUGUUUAUCUUUGGAUUUGAGAUAUUUUUUAUAGC